rnacentral:misc_RNA from 1 species
UGGGGAGAUACCAAACGUGAAUGAUGCAACCUUAGACCAUGAACGGCUAUCAGGAAGACUUGUCACAUAUGGUUUAGCAGAACUACAGAUGGAAGGUGAUGGGAAUUGCCAGUUUCGGGCAUUAGCAGACCAAUUAUUUCGAAAUCCUGAUUACCACAAGCAUGUAAGAAAGGCAGUCAUCAAACAGUUAAAGAGAUUCAGA